rnacentral:ribozyme from 1 species
AUAAGGGAGCGAAGGCAACGACGAGUUCAUCUUCUUCGGCUGCAGAAAAUUCUGGUCUUGAUGCGUUCGUAGAUGCUCUU